AACCAAAAAACUUGUGAAACCGAGUCAUUGAUCUGUUCAUUAUUAAGUAAUUUCAUCAGGUAAAAAAGGUCCCUGUGUGUGAUUUUGUAACCUGUUUAGUUUUAAGUGUUGUAUCCAGAAGCUGGUUUAACUCAGUAAUUUUAAAAAUUAAAGUAGGGAGGUAUCUGACAUUUUAUUUUGGCUUGUAUUAAAUUGUGAUUUCACUGGUGUGAUUUUCUGGAAAAUAAUAGUUUGAAUGUUUUCCAGUGUUGAUUUUUCUCAGGAAAAUCAUUGUCCUGUCUCUCAGCAAAAUAAGUUUGACUUCUUACUUGACCUGUACUUGAGAUGAACACUGUAUGAGAAGCACUUGUUUUAGUUAGCAGAGGGGAAGGGAAAGAUUUAGGGAUAAUAUUGCUAGAGAGAGUGUCUUACCCCUAAUUGUUUUGCACUGUGGUCAGAUGUGUAUGUAGAGUUCACAUCUGUAUUUUUACUGGUUGGAUGUUUUUGUGGUUUUUUUUCCCACCAUUACCAAGGAGAGUGAGUGUGCAGGAAUAUCUCUUCAGAAGUUCAUGGGGUUAAAUACUGGCUGAUAAGUUAACUGAAUUGUUUCAACACUUUGCUCUUGAACGUUUGUUAAAUAUGAAUUGCACGCUGACAUUACUUAAGAUUUAUUGCUGAGAGUUUGAAGGAAGUGUGCCCACCACUUUAGCGGAUGGCACUGUCUGCACUGGUGGAAUUGGACCUUGAGGUCCUGACUCAGCUUUUGGCAACAGUUUAAUUUCCAGGGAUUGGGGAAACCCCAGUUUACUUUGGCUUGAAGUUACUGUAAGCCAAAUCAAGCCAUUUCACAGUGGUAAGCAGUAUGAAACUGAACCUUGCAGUUGAUAAUUCAAAAGCAUAACCUUAGGCAGCUCUGAAUUUUAUUCUCUGGGCAUCUAUGCGGCAUCAAGUUGAUGUUUUUCAAAACACAAUAUGCUAAAUAAUUCUUAUAAAUAGACUCAUUGAUGGUAAUGGAACUAAAAUAGUCCUUGCACAGAAGGGAUGUGCUGAAUUAAUGACAAGUACAAAUAUCUCACAGCCUCCAGUAAUUUGCAUGGCACCAAGUGGUGAGAGAGACAGGUAGCAUGUGUGGCAUAAGGAUAUUUCCUGGAGUCCUCUAACUGUGCUUCUCUGCUGAUACAUGGGCUGUAUUCUCAGACUCAGUGUUUCAGAAGGGCACAAAGCAGUAUCUGAAGUGUCUGUUGUGCUUAAUGUGCUUAAUAGUUUGUAGACACAUAUAUACAUCUUGUAGACACAUCAAAUCAUGGAUAUUCAUACAUUGUAACUUGAUUACCCUGCAUCCAGGUGUGGCCCAUGGAGCAGCUGCACAUGCAGUGGAAAAGCAGGCGCCUGUGUUGGGACUGAAGCAAUGGGAUUUGGCUGACUCACAUGUACAUGGCAUUGGGCAGUCAUGUUUUGUCCCACUCGGACACUUAAUUAUCACUGGGUGUACGGAGAGAAUGACAUUGUCACUUAAAAUGCACUGAACUUACAAGUAUUAAGGAAAUGCUUGUCCUUAGAGGAAACCUUUCUCAUUCACUUGUGUUCUUUCUUUCCUUCCUACCCUCCUAUAUAUGACUUGACUUUGUUGCUGAGUGUUUAUACCUUGAAAACAGGUUUGAUCAUAACGGCGGAUAGAAGGUCAUGAAUUUGAAAUGUAGUAGUCUGUCCUGAAUUUUUAAAAGCAAUCUAAAUAAACUUGAUGAUUACGAAGCACAGUGAAUAGCUGGUGUGUGACUCAUAGGAGUUUAUAAUUCUAAAUGUGCAUUACUGAUCAGGAAACUUCUAAGCUGGUAUUUUGUUUAAGCUUUUUAGCCUCAUAGAGGCCUCUGCUCUAGGUAGCAUCUUUGCUUUGAAAUGUAGCAAUGUUUAUUCUAAGUCAAGCAAAGUGUCAAAACGUGCAGAUUUACAUACUGAAGACUGACAUCUAGAGCAGGAAAUACAUAGAUUGAUUAGAAAGUCUGUUUUAAGUUACUCAGUAAUGCACCUGUCACUGUUGCAGAAGCACUUUCCCCCCUUUGUUGCAUUGGACCUGAAAUGCUGAUCUGUUGGUGUUGUGAAUACAGAAGCUCAGACCAUUUAGUUGAAAAGUAUGGGUAGGUUUUACUUGCUUUUCCAUGAAUGUACUUUUACAAAAUUUAAUUGACUGGAGCUAUUCUAAAUAAUUACUAAGCAAGUUUCUUCUUUACUGGAUGCCUUAUGCAGUGAAACUUAAUUAUGUGUCUCCUGGCAUUUGAACUUGGUGACGUGUUACUUAAAUUUUCUCAAAGGUCUUUAUCAGUUCUCUUGAUAUCUUGCUGUCUUGGUACGUUAAAAAGCUCGUUGUAUUAAGUUACAAACUACAAUGCUUUUUUUUUUUUUCCCUUGUAACAAGAAUUGUAAUUUGGAGACGUAUGAGGUAGGAACUUUGAUUCCAUUGGCACUGACAGUUACUCAAAGACAAGGUUAGGUGUACUUUGCCAUCCUGUGUGUGCUUAUGCAGCUCUCAUUUCCACUUAGCACUAAAUAGCAAUUUAUUUCCAUUGUGUGAGAUACAGAGGAGUAAAGUACUUAAAUGAAGAUGUUUUGAAGUCUGCAAAAGGACUUGUUUAACAGAUUAGCUUUUAGUCAUGGCUAUGGUGCACUGUAUGCUUUUUCUGCAGACUUUUUUUUCCCCAUAGCACUGAAGUGGUUAAUAUUUAAAAGGUUUGUUUGUUUGUUUUUGAAAUCGUAAAUAAGCUUGAUGGUUUAAGACAAUGCCCUGGAAGCUUCUUCACCUUGACGUUUUUAGUGCAACUGUUAUAGAUUAGCUUUUUAUGUGGAAUGCACAUGUGACUUCUUCAAAGGUGCUUAGAUUGUUUAGAUUUUAGGGCAGAUUUCCUUUUGCUUAUCUGACAUGAGGUGCUGAGCCUCAACUUAGCAAUGAAUGAACUUGAAAAAUGUUGAUACUUGGUUUUCUUGUUAAUGGUUUUCUCUCCCCAUAUUGUUGUAUAAUGUUCAGUAGAAACACCAAUUAAAUUGUAAUACUUUUUUAUGUGUAUGACUGCUUGACGUAAUGAAACUGUACUUUACAGAAGAGAUAGUUAAACCUGACAGGCAUUUUGUAAAUGAAGCAGUUUUAGGGGAGGUACAGCUAGUGUAGUUUUGUGUGUGUUAGACAUCCUGUGUAAACCCUAUUCAUUCACUGGUUUGUUUUUUUGUUUUAUUUUGGAUUUUUUUGGUUUUGUUUGUUUUUGGUUUUUUAAUUGCUAUUUUUGGUUGAAGGGAAAGGCAAAUGAACCAAAUAUCAAGUUGCAAAUGUAUUGAGUUUCUUUCAAGCCUCUUUAAUAUUAAAGUUGAAUAGAGCAUAGUGGUGUAAAGCUCACAGAUGAAAGAAAUUAUUGGACUGCUAAACACAAAGACUAAAAUGAGAGUCCCGCUUCUGAUACCUUGUAGCUCAGAGAGAACAGCUGUGGAAAUAUGGCUGUGGCUUUUGUGCCUUUUUACUCUCCUUGAUAAUGAUGCCCAUAGGCUCCUUUUCGAGAUUGUGCUGGGCAAAGUGGUCCUCUGAUAAAAUGCACACUUGUCUUGCAGUUAGUGUCCAAAAAUAUUUCUGCAUUCUGUGAAGAGUUUGCUUACUAAUGAUGCCUGGAUUUAGACUGCCCCAAUCAACCAGAUUGGACAUGUGUUCAUGUGAAAUCCUUGGGUAGUUGUGCAAUUUGGUGUUCGGAGAUACGAGAGUCAAGCUGUAGGAAAUGUUGAGUUCUAGAGACUUAUGCAAAAUCUGAGGGGAAAUUCCUAGUAGCUCUAGGUGGGUAAAGUUUUCAAGAUCUGUUUUUAAUACUUCUAAGAAAAACCCCAAACCAGCUAGAUCCUGUUGUUUUUUUCUUCAGACUCUUUGAUCAUAUGUAGAUCUGGGAAACUUGAUUUUUGCAGUCUGUGGUGUGUGGCCUGUGAAAAGGAAUGUUUCUGAGCCCUUGAUAAAUUUAAUGCUGUGGCGAUAGGGGUGCUGCUUAGACCUCAUGGCUUUGUUCUUUUGUCUUUCUUGUCUUGAUUGUGCUGUGUACUGAUGUCAGGUUGAUUGGUGGAUCCAGACUGAGAUAUAUCUGAACUGCAAAGGGAGGAGAGGAUUGGUUUAAUGAAGGUCAUUUGAAAACCUCGGCUGUAGAACAAAGCCUAUGGAAGCAGUGAUAGGCAUACCGUUUUUCAUAGUUUAUGUAAAAAAAAAAUCGAAAUGUAAAUUUUACUCAGCUGAGCUGACUUCUAAUUCUGCUGUCUGUUGAAGUGUGAAUUCUUAGCUUAGCCUUUAACUUCACCUGGUGCUGUGUAUAGUAUUAGGUGGAGAUUUAAAACUGGAACAGUUGAGGUUCAUGUCUGUGUGGGAAGGCACAACCCUUUGUGUAUGUGCACAUGGAAGAAUAAUGGAACAGAAUAGAAACUUAAGA